AGCGAACGCUGGCGGCAGGCCUAACACAUGCAAGUCGAACGAAGUCUUCGGACUUAGUGGCGGACGGGUGAGUAACACGUGGGAACGUGCCUUUAGGUUCGGAAUAACUCAGGGAAACUUGUGCUAAUACCGAAUGUGCCCUUCGGGGGAAAGAUUUAUCGCCUUUAGAGCGGCCCGCGUCUGAUUAGCUAGUUGGUGGGGUAAUGGCCCACCAAGGCUACGAUCAGUAGCUGGUCUGAGAGGAUGACCAGCCACAUUGGGACUGAGACAUGGCCCAAACUCCUACGGGAGUCAGCAGUGGGGAAUCUUGCGCAAUGGGCGAAAGCCUGACGCAGCCAUGCCGCGUGGAUGAUGAAGGUCUUAGGAUUGUAAAAUCCUUUCACCGGUGAAGAUAAUGACUGUAGCCGGAGAAGAAGCCCCGGCUAACUUCGUGCCAGCAGCCGCCGUAACAC
rnacentral:rRNA from 1 species